CUGAUAAGUUUAUAAUUAUAUUUGUUUUUAGGUUUGUGUGCCUUUUGCAUCAUGCUUAGGCGAUAUUUUUAGUGUAUAACUUUAAACCGAAAACCCCAGAUCUUACAUUACACUGUUUAGUUUAUAGUCAGGUAGAUACUUUUAGAUGUAGUGUAUGUUGUGAUAAGUUAAUCGGUGGCGUUUAUAGCUGUUUAAUGGCUUUAUUUUUAUAAUUAUGCUGUUUGGCGAAGAUGUCAAGCAGUUUUAUAUACUGAACUUUUAUGAAUGAUUGAUAGGGUUAAAAGUACCCCUUUGUUUUAAAAGUGUUACAACUUUUUAAUUAAGUUUUGUCAGUUAUUAUUAGAGGCCAUUUAUAAAAUAGUUUGUUAUUAUGUAUGCUUAAAUAAGUAAUAUUAAUAUUGACAUUGUUUCUCAAGUCUUGCCCGUCUGUUUAUUAAAAACAUUUCCAUAACGUAUUGUUUAUGGUAGUACCUGCUCUAUGUGUAUAUAAAUGGCCGCAGUAUCUUGACUGUGCGAAGGUAGCAUAAUUAAUUGCCUUAUAAUUGAAGGCUUGUUUGAAUGGUUUGACGAGGUAAGUACGAACAUUGUUGAUAUUUGUGAAAUUAUUGUAGAGGGCACAGAAACCUCUGAAAUUAAUUAGACGGAAAGACCCCGGGAUCUUUAAUUUUUGUCUGGGGCAGAUAUCAAUAUUUUAUUUUUAUUAUGACCCUCUAAGGUUUGGUGAGUUAAGUUACCCCGGGGAUAACAGUAUAAUAGUUUAUUAGAGACCAUAUCGAUUAAACUGCUUGUUACCUCGAUGUUGACUUAGGCUUUAGAUUUGUGCGCAGUAGUUCAAGUUUUAGGUCUGUUCGACCUUUGUAGCCUCCAUGAGUUGAGUUAAGACCGGCGUGAGCCAGGUCGGUUCUUAUCUGUUGUUCUGGUUUAUUAGUACGAAAGGAUUGUAAGCCGUUUAUUUU
rnacentral:rRNA from 1 species